AUUGAACGCUGGCGGCAGGCCUAACACAUGCAAGUCGAGCGGAGCGGCGGAGGGGUGAGUAAGGCAUAGGAAUCUGACUGGUAGUGGGGGAUAACGUCCGGAAACGGGCGCUGAUACCGCAUACUAUCAGAUGAGCCUAGGUCGGAUUAGCUAGAUGGUGGAGUAAAGGCCAACCAAGGCGACGAUCCGUAACUGGUCUGAGAGGAUGACCAGUCAAACUGGAACUGAGACACGGUCCAGACUCCUACGGGAGGCAGCAGUGGGGAAUAUGGGACAAUGGGCGAAAGCCUGAUGCAGCCAUGCCGCGUGUGUGAAGAAGGUCUUCGGAUUGUAAAGCACUUUCAGCUGGGAGGCGUUACCAACAGAAUAAGCACCGGCUAACUUCGUGCCAGCAGCCGCGGUAAUUC
rnacentral:rRNA from 1 species